GAUGAAGAACGCAGCGAAAUGCGAUAAGUAAUGUGAAUUGCAGAAUUCAGUGAAUCAUCGAAUCUUUGAACGCACAUUGCGCCCCUUGGUAUUCCGAGGGGCAUGCCUGUUCGAGCGUCAUUAUAACCCCUCAAGCUCAGCUUGGUGUUGGGGCCUGCUGCACUGGCAGCCCUUAAAAUCAGUGGCGGCGCCAUCUGGCUCUAAGCGUAGUAAUUCUUCUCGCUAUGGAGUCCUGGUGGAUGCUUGCCAUCAACCCCCAAUUUUUCUAUGGUUGACCUCGGAUCAGGUAGGGAUACCCGCUGAUCUUAAGCAUAUCAAUAAGCGGAGGA
rnacentral:misc_RNA from 1 species